rnacentral:rRNA from 1 species
UACACUCCUACGGGAGGCAGCAGUGGGGAAUAUUGCACAAUGGGCGCAAGCCUGAUGCAGCCAUGCCGCGUGUAUGAAGAAGGCCUUCGGGUUGUAAAGUACUUUCAGCGGGGAGGAAGGCAAUACGGUUAAUAACCGUGUUGAUUGACGUUACCCGCAGAAGAAGCACCGGCUAACUCCGUGCCAGCAGCCGCGGUAAUACGGAGGGUGCAAGCGUUAAUCGGAAUUACUGGGCGUAAAGCGCACGCAGGCGGUCUGUCAAGUCGGAUGUGAAAUCCCCGGGCUCAACCUGGGAACUGCAUUCGAAACUGGCAGGCUUGAGUCUUGUAGAGGGGGGUAGAAUUCCAGGUGUAGCGGUGAAAUGCGUAGAGAUCUGGAGGAAUACCGGUGGCGAAGGCGGCCCCCUGGACAAAGACUGACGCUCAGGUGCGAAAGCGUGGGGAGCAAACAGGAUUAGAUACCCCUGUAGUCCCAUGAU